CAGGCGGUUCCUUAAGUCUGAUGUGAAAGCCCACGGCUUAACCGUGGAGGGUCAUUGGAAACUGGGGAACUUGAGUCCAGAAGAGGAGAGUGGAAUUCCCCGUGUAGCGGUGAAAUGCGUAGAUAUGUGGAGGAACACCAGUGGCGAAGGCGACUCUCUGGUCUGUAACUGACGCUGAGGCGCGAAAGCGUGGGGAGCGAACAGGAUUAGAUACCCUGGUAGUCCACGCCGUAAACGAUGAGUGCUAGGUGUUAGGGGGUUUCCGCCCACUUAGUGCUGCAGUUAACGCAUUAAGCACUCCGCCUGGGGAGUACGGCCGCAAGGCUGAAACUCAAAAGAAUUGACGGGGGCCCGCACAAGCGGUGGAGCAUGUGGUUUAAUUCGAAGCAACGCGAAGAACCUUACCAGGUCUUGACAUCCUCUGACAAUCCUAAAGAUAGGACUUUCCCUUCCGAGACAGAGUGACAAGUGGUGCAUGGUUAUCGUCCGCUAAUGUCGUAAGAUGUUGCGUU
rnacentral:rRNA from 1 species